GAAUGAUGGUGACCCAAACCCUCACCAGAGUAGCAAUUGGAGGGCAAGUCUGGUGCCAGCAGCCGCGGUAAUUCCAGCUCCAAUAGCGUAUAUUAAACUUGUUGCAGUUAAAAAGCUCGUAGUUGAAUUUUAGCGUGUUCGAGUUUGCCAUUCGUUUGGCUUUUUCGAGUUCGCUUUUGGGUUUUCCCUUUUUACUUUGAGAAAAUWAGAGUGUUUCAAGCARACUUUUGUCUUGAAWACUUCAGCAUGGAAUAAUAGAGUAGGACUUUGG
rnacentral:rRNA from 1 species